AUUGAACGCUGGCGGCAUGCUUUACACAUGCAAGUCGAACGGUAACAGGGAGCUUGCUCCGCUGACGAGUGGCGAACGGGUGAGUAAUGCGCCGGAACGUGCCGAGUAGUGGGGGAUAACGCAGCGAAAGUUGUGCUAAUACCGCAUACGUACUGAGGUAGAAAGUGGGGGACCUUCGGGCCUCACGCUAUUCGAGCGGCCGACGUCUGAUUAGCUAGUAGGUGAGGUAAAGGCUCACCUAGGCGACGAUCAGUAGCGGGUCUGAGAGGAUGAUCCGCCACACUGGGACUGAGACACGGCCCGGACUCCUACGGGAGGCAGCAGUGGGGAAUUUUGGACAAUGGGCGAAAGCCUGAUUCAGCCAUGCCGCGUGUCUGAAGAAGGCCUUCGGGUUGUAAAGGACUUUUGUCGGGGAGGAAAUCCCCAGCGCUAAUACCGCUGGGGGAUGACAGUACCUGAAGAAUAAGCACCGGCUAACUACGUGCCAGCCGCCGCGGUAA
rnacentral:rRNA from 1 species